CGUAGGGUGCAAGCGUUAAUCGGAAUUACUGGGCGUAAAGCGUGCGCAGGCGGUUUUGUAAGCCAGAUGUGAAAGCCCCGGGCUCAACCUGGGAAUGGCAUUUGGGACUGCAAGGCUUGAGUGCGGCAGAGGAGACUGGAAUUCCUGGUGUAGCAGUGAAAUGCGUAGAUAUCAGGAGGAAUACCGAUGGCGAAGGCAGGUCUCUGGGCUGACACUGACGCUCAUGCACGAAAGCGUGGGGAGCAAACAGGAUUAGAUACCCUGGUAGUCCACGCCCUAAACGAUGUCGACUGGUUGUUGGGGGUUUGACACUCUCAGUAACGAAGCUAACGCGUGAAGUCGACCGCCCGGGGAGUACGGCCGCAAGGUUA
rnacentral:rRNA from 1 species